rnacentral:lncRNA from 1 species
CAUUCUUUCACUGCGGACCAUGCUAAAGCAGGCAGUGGACCCUUUGACCCUUGGCCCCUAUUUUGCCGACCCUCCCUGAGCCAGACACCAGGGAAGGGGCACAGGGAGCUGGCUACUUAUUGACAGCUUCAAUUCAUGCAGACUUUCAGGGCUGCUUUUUACUAUCAAAAACAGAAUCUACUUCUCAAUAAGAGAGAUGAUAUAAAUGAUGUCACUUUUACUGGUAAUUUCAAAGUUUGGGUUUAGUCGUGUAGAAGAUUAGCACUGGUUUUCUUUGUCAUAUUAAAUGUGGAAAAUUGCUAAGGGCUAUGGAAUAAAAGCUUUGAUUGACACAUUGUCAAAAGACUAGAAUACACAGGAAUUGUUUAGAUUAGGUUGUGUGGUUUUGUUUUGUUUUUCUUUUUUUUUUUGUCUUUUUAGGGCCCCACUUGCGGCAUACAGAAAUUCCCAGGCUGGGGGUCAAAUCGGAGCUGCAGCUGCCAGCCUACACCACAGCCACAGCAACUCGGGAUCCGAGCCUCAUCUGCAACCUACACCAUAGCUCACAGCAACGUCAGAUCCUUAACUCACUGAGUGAGGCCAGGGACUGAACUCUCGGAUCCUCAUGGAUCUUAGUUGGUUCAUUAACUGCUGAGCCACGAGCCACGAGCCACGACGGGAGCUCCCUAGAUUUGUUUGAUGUAAAAGCUUCAUUUAAGGGAAAGAACUGCUUUCAAGUUCUUCAGCUUUUGUCAUUUCUGUUUUGGUGCAUUGUGUCCCUGUCGGAUGAUUGGUGCAUCUUAGGGUGGUCAUUCAGAGCUGGAAAGUAGAUUGUCUCUAAUGUUUACCCUUUCUUGGCAUUGCAGUUUCCUAAAAAAUCUGAAAUAAGAGCCAAAUGGUCCUCUCUACAGGUGGAGCCAAAAAAAAAAAAAAAAAAAAAAAAAAAAAAAAGGAAAGGAAAAAAAGAAUUGAGAGACGAGAUGAAAAUUAUAAGAGGUUGUAUGAGGAUUAGCUAGUUCACGCAAUUGACUUUUGCUCUGCUGGAAUAAUGACAUAAUUUUGAUGGUUGAACCACACGAGGUAAAACACAUGCCAGUACUUGAGCAAUUUUAUGAUUAUCUCCUUGAGAGGAUGGGGUGAAGUAUGAUUCUCCUCUGUGUAAUAGCAUAAUAAUCUGGCUUGAUUCUUUUUAGAAGUCAUUGAGGUAAGUUGAGUUAGUGUUUAAAUAGUGACCUCGAAGACAUGGACAAUGGCGAAGAGGACUCUGCUCGUCCUGAGACUGUGCUGAGCGCCGUGGCUUCUUAAUCAAAGCAACAGUUAGCUCGGACGACCCCUUUCCCCAAGGUUUUAUUUCAUCUUGCGGUGUACAUGGGAGAGCUUCUGAAGAGGCUGAGUGCCAAGCCAGGUGGUUUAGUUCUGUGGCCCACCUUUUUAAGGAGGGGAAAAGGAGAGUAAAUUUUAGCAAGUUUACUUUUGCUAAACUUUCUUAUUUAGUAGAGUAGUCCCUACAUUCAUUCAUAGGAGGUUUUUGAUUUUGUUUUGUUUUAAAUAGCUCAAUUGUAAGAAAAACUAUUGUAUACCCAAUAAAGGGCAACUGUAUAGAAAUGCUGGCCAUUUCCAUCCUUGGCAGUACCAGGUCUCUGAAGGUGUAGGAAGUAUGAAAUACUCCGAGUGAGAGAGUUGAUGAUUUCUGAACUGAAUUGUGGAAUUUGUUGUUUUAAGAAACUCUUGGACUAGGGGAAGAAACCAAAACAAAAUCCCAAAACAUUUCCAGUUCAACCCUCCUGCAACCUGGGAUCUUCUGUAAGGCUUUCAGGGUGGAUCCCAGGCUGUGUUGAGGGGCUUAGGAAUUCAGCAGACCUCUGGCUGCUCCUAGUCAUUGUGAGAAUACGUUGUUUACUGCCUGAGCUAUGACAGCAUAGGGUAGUGGUCUUCAGAGUGGGCUGCUGCUUCUCCAAGGAAUAUGAUGUGCAGAAUGAUCCAUUGGGAUGCAGGGGAAGCACCGCAAGUCCUGUUUUAAAGUUUUAGUAGUGGCUGGAUAUAUAUGUGAUUGUGCAUGUUUUGGGAUGUAUGCUUCUUGUCUACUUUGGGAGCUAGGCAGUUGUAAGAACACCCCUACAGUGGCUUAUGCGGCCUCUCUAACCCCUGACCUUACUAUUAGUCAUCUGCUCCCCUCUUCCCCCCUCCCCAUUCCAGCCCAUGUGGCCUUUUUGCUGAUCCUGAAAGGCUUCUGAACCGUGACCCACAGCAGCCUUUGCCCUGGUGGUUCCCUCUGCCUGUAAUGCCCUUCUCCAGAGGCUCCCCUUGAUGCUCUUGGCUAAUGCCCUCACCUCCUCAAAGGCUUUGCUCAAGAGUCGUUUCUCAGUGAGGCCUUUCUUGACCACCUUUUUAAUGCAGCAGCAUACUCUGAAGCCUCCUUGUAUUGCUCUGCUUUUCCUUUUUCCUUAGCACUCACUGCCUUUGGAGAAACUGUAUUAUAUCUGUUGGCUCUUGUUUCCCCAGCAGAAGUAAGAUCCUUGAGGCCAGGACUCGCCUUCUCCUUUGUUCACAGAUGCGUUCCUGUUGCUUAUUAGAACUGUGCCCGUUCAGUACAUUCUGCUGAAUGAUUAAAGCCUCUGGCGCGUAGUAGGCUCAGUAGGCUUCUUUUAAUGAAUGAAUAAAUUAUUUAGGGAAAUUGGAAAUAUAAAAAUGAAUAAAAUAUGCUCUAUGCCCUGAAGUAGUUCUAUGUAGCUGUGAAGACCAAACAUAAGAAAAUAAUUUUCAACUUGUGAGACCUGUGUGGUAGAAUCGUGAGGGGGCCGAGGGUGGAAUUGAGCCGAUCGUGACUGACUGUCUGUGGGCGGAGAAGGCAGGCAGACUCAGUGCCUCUGAAAGGGGUGAUGCUAAAUGUAAAAGCUUUAAAUACCCGGGAACCCACGCAAACCUAGAGCUUGUUUAUUUGAAAUGAGGAUUUUUAACAUCGAGAUUACGGUUUUAUUUUUUAUUUGUUUUUAAAGAAUGAGAUGAAUAAUUGUCUGAUCUUAAGAGAUAGAUCUUGCAGAAAUUUUCAAAUGCAUAUUUUUUUCCUGGGCAAACUAUUCACCAGAAAAGAAAGUGCUUUUCUACACACAUUUACCAACCCUUGGUUCCUUUCUCCCUCUUUCAGCCUGUACUUUCCAUGCCUUGGGCAAAAAGUUUGGGUUAUUUUCACCCACCUGAAAUCCCUAAGUAUUUAUUGGUUAAAAACUCAGAGUAGGUACCUAGCACUGUAAAAGAGUAGUAUCUCUUUAUGAAAAUAUGUAGGGGUGGAAAUUGCUUGCUGGAAAUGCAUUGAUCUC